rnacentral:rRNA from 1 species
UACGGAGGGUGCGAGCGUUGUCCGGAAUCAUUGGGCGUAAAGGGCGCGUAGGUGGCCCGGUCAGUCCGUGGUGAAAGCGCGGGGCUCAACCCUGCGUCGGCCAUGGAUACUGCCGCGGCUGGAGCACUGUAGAGGCAGGCGGAAUUCCCGGUGUAGCGGUGAAAUGCGCAGAUAUCGGGAGGAACACCUAUGGCGAAGGCAGCUCGCUGGGACGUUACUGACGCUGAGACGCGAAAGCGUGGGGAGCAAACAGG